ACCCUUGUCCUUAGUUACCAGCACGUUAUGGUGGGCACUCUAAGGAGACUGCCGGUGACAAACCGGAGGAAGGUGGGGAUGACGUCAAGUCAUCAUGGCCCUUACGGCCUGGGCUACACACGUGCUACAAUGGUCGGUACAAAGGGUUGCCAAGCCGCGAGGUGGAGCUAAUCCCAUAAAACCGAUCGUAGUCCGGAUCGCAGUCUGCAACUCGACUGCGUGAAGUCGGAAUCGCUAGUAAUCGUGAAUCGGAAUGUCACGGUGAAUACGUUCCCGGGCCUU
rnacentral:rRNA from 1 species